ACCAGCAAUAAUUGGGCAUUCUUGCUAUUUAGAUUCUGCAUACUCAAGACCAUGUGAGCCCCGUGGUUUGGCUGGUAGUGAUGUCCUGUUCUUUUGGAUAAUUGGAAUCCAGACAUCACCAACAGACUGUGUUCAAAAUUCACCUCGAGUAUGGAAAGGCCAUAGAAGUGAGCUGGAUUGGAAGAGGAGCAGCUGCGACUAGAACCUGUGCCCAUAUGGGACACCGGCACUUCAGGCCAGGACUUUAACCCACUGCACCAUGGCGCCAGCCCAGCAAGUGGAGAGGGGAAAUGAGAGACUGAAAAGAAAAGAAGGAUAAAAUUACUAAGAGCUAAAAGAUAACAUAAGUCAACCAUAGCGGUCCUUUGAACUGGAAAGAUCCAAAUCCUUGAGGCCUGUUUCCACCCUCCUGUGUGUCUGCUCCUGUGCAACCCAUGUUGAGUGAACAAGUGAACAUUCCCUGAACAUCCCCUGUGUGUCAGCCCCAUUGUACUGGGAAAUU